GAUGAGCGCUGGCGGCGUGCCUAAUACAUGCAAGUCGAGCGAACGGACGAGAAGCUUGCUUCUCUGAUGUUAGCGGCGGGCGGGUGAGUAACACGUGGAUAACCUACCUAUAAGACUGGGAUAACUUCGGGAAACCGUAGCUAAUACCGGAUAAUAUUUUGAACCGCAUGGUUCAAAAGUGAAAGACGGUCUUGCUGUCACUUAUAGAUGGAUCCGCGCUGCAUUAGCUAGUUGGUAAGGUAACGGCUUACCAAGGCAACGAUGCAUAGCCGACCUGAGAGGGUGAUCGGCCACACUGGAACUGAGACACGGUCCAGACUCCUACGGGAGGCAGCAGUAGGGAAUCUUCCGCAAUGGGCGAAAGCCUGACGGAGCAACGCCGCGUGAGUGAUGAAGGUCUUCGGAUCGUAAAACUCUGUUAUUAGGGAAGAACAUAUGUGUAAGUAACUGUGCACAUCUUGACGGUACCUAAUCAGAAAGCCACGGCUAACUACGUG
rnacentral:rRNA from 1 species